AAGCCAGCCAAUGUAUCUGCUUAUCUGAAUGUGUUUCUGCAGAAGUUCAGAGAAAGCUGGCAGUAUAGUAAAGCCACAUUACAGAGGUUUACAGACAUUGAACUCAUUAAGCACCCUGAAAAUGUCUGUAAGA